UCCUGCAUCUGCUGUACUGCCCCAUGGCCUUGGGGGCUGCACAGCUCGGAAGAGAAGCCCAUAGUGCCGUCCUGGGGACAGAGAGAGGAGAGGGCCCACCACGGGAUGCAGUCUCAGGAUCCUAGGAAGAACAACAUCACCACGCUGGAGACCGGGCCUGGUUUGCAUAGUCUGCACGUUUAAUCACUUUAAAACCUCUAACAUUAUCUCGUGUCCAUUAAAUAGAACCAACAACGCUGGGCCUGUUUAAAUUACAAGAAAAAAAAAAAAUCACUGGGCACCAACCCA